GAUGUUAUCGCCCAGGCUCUUUGAUGGAUCGUAUUAGUUACAAUGUAAUUCACCCAUACCAUCCAUAUGUUACAGUAGCUACUGUACUCUCUAUUCAACUUCAGAAAGGACAACAAGAUACAACAAACUAUGAAAUCGUGCUUGAUGUACCAACUUCAUUGUAAAUGCCAAAAGGAACUUUUUGUACUAUAGUAAAUGGCCAGGUUAGACGCGACUAGCGUAAGAAUAGUAAAGGGCCAGUCUAGGACCUACUUUUUUUAGAAAUAGUAGGAGCGCUACUGGUGUAGAAUACACUUUCUUCUUUCCUCUUCCCCUCUGCUCUGCUCUCCCUGCUUUGUUUGUUUGCCUAUUAUGGGGGAAAUCCUUAACUGAAUUGCGUCAGAGCUACGUCAAUGGCCUCUCAGUGCAUUGAUGCUGAGGAUAGAGACGCCCAUAUUAAUCUAUGGGAGAAGAACGUAAAAUCCUUUGCCAUAUGGUCCUGUCAAACCAACUGUCCCGACCCCGGUGUCUGAUCUUCCCCGGGCAGUAGGCGCCGGUGACCCAGAUCUGUCUCGUGCCCGACUGUGAAGGCAGAAUCUCCGGUGGGCUAUCAGCGGGGGGAUUCGGCUUGGAGCAGCGGUCUAUCUCCGACUACGAUGCCGUUCUCCCAGCCGCACGAACCCUGGGACAAAAUGGAGGUGACCAGCGUUAGUAGUGAGGUUAAUGGUCACCAGAUCCUGGAUGAGCCCAUGGACGAGGGAGAGUCUUUUACUCAUUGUGUGAGUAACAUGGAGGGUGUGUCACUGUUUGAGAACAUGGGAGGUGUGUGUGUCUCAGUGUGAGGAACAUGGGAGGUGUGUGAGCAACAUGGGGGGGGGGGGGUGUGUGUGUCUCACUGUGUGAGGAACAUGGGAGGUGGUGUGUCUCACUGUGUGGGGAACAUGGGGAGGUGGUGAGCCACAUGGGGGGGGGGGGGUGGGGGUGUGUGUGUCUCACUGUGUGAGGAAAUGGGAGGGUGUGAGGAACAUGGGGGGGGGGGACUCACUGUGUGAGGAACUGGGGGGGGUCUCAUGUGUGGAGGAACAUGGGGGUGUGUGUGUGUGUGUCACUGUGUGAGGACAUGGGUGUGUGUGUGUGUGUGUGUGUGUCUCACUGUGUGAGGAACAUGGGGUGUGUGUGUGUGUGUCUCACUGUGUGAGGAACAUGGGGGGGGUGUGUGUUGUUCACUGUGUGAGGAACAUGGGGGUGUGUGUGUGUGUGUCACGGU
rnacentral:lncRNA from 1 species